UAAUACAGAGGGUGCAAGCGUUAAUCGGAGUUACUGGGCGUAAAGGGCGCGUAGGCGGUUAUAUGUGUGGAAUGUGAAAGCCCUGGGCUUAACCUAGGAAGUGCAUACCAAACUAUAUGACUGGAGUAUGGGAGAGGGUGGCGGAAUUUCCGGUGUAGCGGUGAAAUGCGUAGAGAUCGGAAGGAACGUCGAUGGCGAAGGCAGCCACCUGGCCCAAUACUGACGCUGAGGCGCGAAAGCGUGGGGAGCGAACAGGAUUAGAUACCCUGGUAGUCCACGCUGUAAACGAUGAAGACUAGAUGCUGGUAGGGGAACCUAUCAGUAUCGAAGCUAACGCGAUAAGUCUUCCGCCUGGGAAGUACGGCCGCAAGGUUG
rnacentral:rRNA from 1 species